rnacentral:rRNA from 1 species
CGGGGUGCAGCAGGCGCGAAAACUCUACAAUGCAGGCAACUGCGAUAGGGGGACAUCGAGUGGCAUCCACCUUGGGUGCCUGUCCAACCGUCUAAAAAACGGUUGUUAGCAAGGGCCGGGUAAGACCGGUGCCAGCCGCCGCGGUAAUACCGGCGGCUCGAGUGGUGGCCGAUAUUAUUGAGUCUAAAGGGCCCGUAGCCGGCUUUGCAAGUCCCCUGGGAAAUCCAGCGGCUUAACCGUUGGGCUUUCAUGGGAUACUACAUUGCUUGGGACUGGGAGAGGUAGGAGGUACUCGGGGGGUAGGGGUGAAAUCCUGUAAUCCUCCGGGGACCACCGGUGGCGAAGGCGUCCUACCAGAACAGGUCCGACGGUGAGGGACGAAAGCUAGGGGCACGAACCGGAUUAGAUACCCGGGUAGUCCUAGCCGUAAACGAUGCCCGCUAGGUGUCACGACGGUCGUGAAUCGUCGUGGUGCCGUAGGGAAGCCGCGAAGCGGGCCACUUGGGAAGUACGGCCGCAAGGCUGAAACUUAAAGGAAUUGGCGGGGGAGCACAAGGGCGAAUCGCG